AAUCAACGCUGGCGGCGUGCCUCAGACAUGCAAGUCGAACGAGAACCUCCCUUCGGGGAGGGGACAGUGGCGCACGGGUGAGUAACACGUGGGUAAUUUACCUUUGGGUGGGGAACAACAGCCGGAAACGGCUGCUAAUACCGCAUAAUGCAGCGGCUCGACAUCGAGACAGUUGUUAAAGCGGGGGAUCGCAAGACCUCGCGCCUGAAGAGAAGCCUGCGGCGGAUUAGCUAGNGGUAGGGUAAUGGCCUACCAAGGCGACGAUCUGUAACCGGCCUGAGAGGGGCGGUCGGUCACACUGACACUGACAUACGGGUCAGACUCCUACGGGAGGCAGCAGUCGGGAAUUUUGGGCAAUGGGCGAAAGCCUGACCCAGCAACGCCGCGUGAAGGAUGAAGCUUUUCGG
rnacentral:rRNA from 1 species